GCCAGACUCCUACGGGAGGCAGCAGUGAGGAAUAUUGGUCAAUGGGCGAGAGCCUGAACCAGCCAAGUCGCGUGAGGGAGUACUGCCCUAUGGGUUGUAAACCUCUUUUGUCGGGGAGCAAAAGCCGGACGUGUCCGGCUGUGAGAGUACCCGAAGAAAAAGCAUCGGCUAACUCCGUGCCAGCAGCCGCGGUAAUACGUAGGGGGCAAGCGUUAUCCGGAUUUACUGGGUGUAAAGGGGGCGCAGACGGCAGCGCAAGCCAGGAGUGAAAGCCCGGGGCCCAACCCCGGGACUGCUCUUGGAACUGCGCGGCUGGAGUGCAGGAGGGGCAGGCGGAAUUCCUGGUGUAGCGGUGAAAUGCGUAGAUAUCAGGAGGAACACCGGCGGCGAAGGCGGCCUGCUGGACCGUGACUGACGUUGAGGCUCGAGAGCGUGGGGAGCAAACAGGAUUAGAUACCCUUGUAA
rnacentral:rRNA from 1 species